AGGUAAGCUACUAAGAGCGAAUGGUGGAUGCCUUGACUGGUAAAGGCGAUGAAGGACGUACUAGACUGCGAUAAGCUACGGGGAGCUGUCAAGAAGCUUUGAUCCGUAGAUUUCCGAAUGGGGCAACCCAAUGUAUAGAGAUAUACAUUACCUAUAUAGGAGCGAACGAGGGGAAUUGAAACAUCUUAGUACCCUCAGGAAAAGAAAUCAAUAGAGAUUGCGUCAGUAGCGGCGAGCGAAAGCGCAAGAGGGCAAACCCAGUGCUUGCACUGGGGGUUGUAGGACUGCAAUGUGCAAGAGGUAAGUUUAGCAGAACAUUCUGGAAAGUAUAACCAUAGAGGGUGAUAGUCCCGUAUGCGAAAAACAAACCUUAGCUAGCAGUAUCCUGAGUAGGGCGGGACACGAGGAAUCCUGUCUGAAUCCGGGUCGACCACGAUCCAACCCUAAAUACUAAUACCAGAUCGAUAGUGCACAAGUACCGUGAGGGAAAGGUGAAAAGAACUGAGGUGAUCAGAGUGAAAUAGAACCUGAAA
rnacentral:rRNA from 1 species